AGUCUGACGGAGCAACGCCGCGUGAGCGAAGAAGGUCUUCGGAUCGUAAAGCUCUGUUGUCAGGGAAGAACAAGUACCGUUCGAACAGGGCGGUACCUUGACGGUACCUGACGAGGAAGCCACGGCUAACUACGUGCCAGCAGCCGCGGUAAUACGUAGGUGGCAAGCGUUGUCCGGAAUUAUUGGGCGUAAAGCGCGCGCAGGCGGUUCCUUAAGUCUGAUGUGAAAUCUCGCGGCUCAACCGCGAGCGGCCAUUGGAAACUGGGGAACUUGAGUGCAGGAGAGGGGAGCGGAAUUCCACGUGUAGCGGUGAAAUGCGUAGAGAUGUGGAGGAACACCAGUGGCGAAGGCGGCUCUCUGGCCUGUAACUGACGCUGAGGCGCGAAAGCGUGGGGAGCGAACAGGAUUAGAUACCCUGGUAGUCCACGCCGUAAACGAUGAGUGCUAAGUGUUAGAGGGUAUCCACCCUUUAGUGCUGCAGCAAACGCAUUAAGCACUCCGCCUG
rnacentral:rRNA from 1 species